AGAUUGAACGCUGGCGGCAGGCCUAACACAUGCAAGUCGAGCGGCAGCACGGGUACUUGUACCUGGUGGCGAGCGGCGGACGGGUGAGUAAUGCCUAGGAAUCUGCCUGGUAGUGGGGGAGUAACGCUCGGAAACGGACGCUAAUACCGCAUACGUCCUACGGGAGAAAGCAGGGGACCGUUCGGCCUUGCGCUAUCAGAUGAGCCUAGGUCGGAUUAGCUAGUUGGUGAGGUAAUGGCUCACAAGGCGACGAUCCGUAACUGGUCUGAGAGGAUGAUCAGUCACACUGGAACUGAAGACACGGUCCAGACUCCGUACGGGAGCAGCAGGUGGGGAAUAGUUGGAACAAGUGGGAGAAAGCCUGAUCCAGCCAUGACCGUCGUGUGUAGGAAG
rnacentral:rRNA from 1 species